rnacentral:lncRNA from 1 species
CUCGUUGGGAACCUUUAGGAAGACUGUAUUCUAUGCAGUUCUGUAAGUCACAUGACUAUGAGGCUAGCUCUCUGAGCUGUGAUUAAAGGUAAGCUGAGUGGUCUUUGUGGGCAACCAUCAACCAUCAUAGAAGACACAAUGUGAACUAUGACAUAAAAGCCCAGACACCUACAAAGCAUGGAGUUGGACCCACAGGUAACAAAGUCAACUGAUGUAAACUGGCUCUGUACGUGGACUGUGGUCUGCUGCUUUAGAGCUAGGAAAGGCCUAGAGGAUGGGGCAUCUAGGAAGGACACAUACUUUGGAUUUGGGGCUGAACAAUGAAGUCAGAGUCAACUUAUCCAGUACUCAUGUUCUACAGACUGGCCUUCCAGAGAUGGGGCUGGCCUCAUGGCAUGUGAUGAUCAUGAGGAGUUAGCCUCUGUUGUCCAGAUGCUGGAUGUAGCCAAGAGCCUAAGGCAGCGAAGUAAACCCUGGUGGAAUUCACCAGAAGCCACUGGCUCACCUGGUAUACAGGAUGGACGAUGGCAAGACUAAGCCUGUCUCAAUGUGGGAUAUCUGAAUUUACACACACUCCAAUAAAUUGUGGAAUUACACAGCAUGCAUUGCACAUUACAUACAUUACACAGCAAACAACUGCAGAG